AUAUACUAAGAGGUAAGGUGUGAGAAGUGGAGCAGAGCAUCACCAGGGCCAACAGCAGAGACCCUAAGGAGUCGGAAAGGCAUGCUCCUCCUGGACCCCGGUGAAAGCAAGCACGCAAGGCUCCGGCGAUGCGCCCCAACGGCCGGCAGGGGGCGCGCGAACUCAACGUAAAGGCUCACCUGGCGCCGCCCACCAGCCGGACCCCCGGCUGCCAGGGACGCUCUCCAGGACGACCGCAGCUGCUCCGCAGGGAGCGGGGUCUCGACCCAGCACUCUACUCAGCCCUUUACUGGCAUUGAUCCUGACCGACCACAAAGAGGUAGAGGACUAUGGAGAAUCCUUUAGCAUGUUUGGCCAUGGUGGCUUCAGUGGGCUGAAUAGCGGUCCCAGAAUGAGACUGAUUCCUUGCAAGUACCUCUUCACAUCCAGUAUGGAGUCUUCAUUGCUCAGGAGAGUCCUUCCAUCUCCAACCCCUGCACUAAGCCAAUUUCUAGGACUUCCCAAUGCUGACAAAGUCCAGUAAAGAAUUUCUCACAGCCAGUCUUAAUCCAGCCCACCUUUUACACUUGAACAUGUUUAAGAUAUGCUGGAGCAUAUAGUGGAAGACAUCAACAGUCUGCCCUCUGGAACUUGCUGCCAUCCACUGAAACAACAGAAAACAAUUGGAUACAGUUAACUGUCCAUCAGUCCGGGAUUGGUUAAAUAAUUUAUGACACACCCAUUUAUUGGGAGACAAAACAAAGUUCUCUAUUUACUAACACGGGAAGAUCUCCAAAUGAAAAAAAGCUAGGGGCAGAAUAGUGAGUACGGGCUCCUAUCUUUUAUGUAAAAGUAGAAAAAGUAUAAUAAAAGAAUAUAAUUAUAGUCUUACUAGUUUGCAUAUACAAAAAAUAAACUAGAUAGAUUUAAAAGGCAUCAGACACUUCAAAACAUGGGAAAUGUUGGAAGAAAUUAUGUCAAAAUGUACAUCUAUUCAUACGGCAAAAUUUAAAUUUACUCCUAAAUAGAGAAAUACAAGUUAAUAAAAAUAUCCAUAAAAGAAAAAUAAAUAAAAAUAAAUAUGGGAGAAAUGCACAAACAUUGCUGGUGAUCAUAUUUUGGAAAGAAAUUUUUAUACGUCUUGAAUCCUGUCCUUAGGAUUUAUCUAAAAACAGGGGAAACUUCUGUGCUGAGAUUUUAGUUUAUUGGAGUCUAUAAAACAAUGACGUACAAAGUUUUUAUUCAGGAACUAAUAAUGGGCAAAAGAAACUAUAGUAUGUGGAAUCAUGGGAAAGUCCUGUAGCCAUCUAAAAAUGUGAGUGGAUAGGGAUGCCUGGGUGGCUCCGUGGUUGAGCGUCUGCCUUCCGCCCAAGGCGUGAUCCUGGAGAGCCGGGAUCGAGUCCCACAUCGGGCUCCCUGCGUGGAGCCUGCUUCUCUGUCUGUGUCUGUCUGUCUCUCUCUCUCGGCCUGUGUCUCUCAUGAAUAAAUAAAUAAAAUCUUUAAAAAAAAAUGUGAGUGGAUAGAAGGGGAGGUGGGUGGCAGGUGGGGGUGACUGGGUGAUGGGCACUGAGGGGGGCACCUGAUGGGAUGAGCACUGGGUGUUCUAUAUGUUGGCAAAUUGAACACCAACAAAAAAUAAAUAAAUAAAAAUAUAAAUAAAAUAAAAUGAAAUAAAAAUAAAAAUGUGAGUGGAGAACAAUUACAACGGAAUUGCACUGCACAGCCAAAACCCAGGCUAUACUGUUCAUGUGCCGUGGUCACAAUUUGGUAUUUAGAGACCCAUGAUCCGUGUAUUAAACGACUAGUAAUUUGAAUAUGUGAACCAAAAUGGUAACUGAGGUGUAGGAUAAAAAUCAUAGCCCAAGUGCUUUAUCGAGGAACAGUUUUAAGCAUCUUGCCCCCAGGGCCGCCGCCUCUUCCCCGUUGCCUUCCCAUCUAUACAAAAGCCGCACGUCAUCGUUAUUCAAAAGGCAGAAGCCAGGAAGUGUAAAUCUUUAAAAAAAAAAAAAAGUAUGAACUUAGGA
rnacentral:lncRNA from 1 species